AGUUUGACUGGGGCGGUCUCCUCCUAAAGAGUAACGGAGGAGCACGAAGGUUGGCUAAUCCUGGUCGGACAUCAGGAGGUUAGUGCAAUGGCAUAAGCCAGCUUGACUGCGAGCGUGACGGCGCGAGCAGGUGCGAAAGCAGGUCAUAGUGAUCCGGUGGUUCUGAAUGGAAGGGCCAUCGCUCAACGGAUAAAAGGUACUCCGGGGAUAACAGGCUGAUACCGCCCAAGAGUUCAUAUCGACGGCGGUGUUUGGCACCUCGAUGUCGGCUCAUCACAUCCUGGGGCUGAAGUAGGUCCCAAGGGUAUGGCUGUUCGCCAUUUAAAGUGGUACGCGAGCUGGGUUUAGAACGUCGUGAGACAGUUCGGUCCCUAUCUGCCGUGGGCGCUGGAGAACUGAGGGGGGCUGCUCCUAGUACGAGAGGACCGGAGUGGACGCAUCACUGGUGUUCGGGUUGUCAUGCCAAUGGCACUGCCCGGUAGCUAAAUGCGGAAGAGAUAAGUGCUGAAAGCAUCUAAGCACGAAACUUGCCCCGAGAUGAGUUCUCCCUGACUCCUUGAGAGUCCUGAAGGAACGUUGAAG
rnacentral:rRNA from 1 species